CCUACGGGAGGCAGCCGUAGGGAAUUUUCGGCCAUGGGGGGAACCCUGACCGAGCAACGCCGCGUGAACGAAGAAGGUAUUCGUAAUGUAAAGUUCUUUUUACAGGGAACAAAGAGAAUUUUGACGGUACCUGAAGAAUAAGCUCCGGCUAACUACGUGCCAGCAGCCGCGGUAAUACGUAGGGAGCGAGCGUACUCCGGAAUUAUUGGGCGAAAGGGGUGCGUCGAUGGAAUAGAAAGUCUUUUGUAAAAAUGCGGGGCGAAACCCGGUAGGGCAAAGGAUACUGUAAAGCUAGAGUAUGACAGAGGCAAGUGGAACUACAUGUGUAGCGGUAAAAUGCGUAAAUAUAUGUAAGAACACCAGUGGCGAAGGCGGCUUGCUGGGUCGAUACUGACAUUGAGGCACGAAAGCGUGGGGAGCAAACAGGAUUAGAUACCCGUGUAGUC
rnacentral:rRNA from 1 species